rnacentral:lncRNA from 1 species
UUGCCUAGUGUUUUUGCUUCUGUCUUCUUUUUAGCUCUGAUAUUUUCUUGGAUCUGAUGUUUUGCAUGCUUUUGUGCCUUUGUGCUUCUGUUUAAUGAAAUGUUUUUCUCUUUAUUAUUCUUUUUAUUUUUUAUGCCUUUUUGAUUAUGCCAAAAAGGGGGAGAAAUUAUUAAAUAGCUCUGAUGAAAAUUAUGUCUAAAACCUUAAGCAUUCUGCAACAAUUAUAGAAAUAGUUCUGAUA